rnacentral:rRNA from 1 species
AACGAACGCUGGCGGCAGGCCUAACACAUGCAAGUCGAGCGCGCCUUUCGGGGUGAGCGGCGGACGGGUUAGUAACGCGUGGGAAUAUGCCCUUUGGUACGGAAUAGCCUCUGGAAACGGAGAGUAAUACCGUAUGAGCCCUUCGGGGGAAAGAUUUAUCGCCAAAGGAUUAGCCCGCGUUAGAUUAGGUAGUUGGUGGGGUAAUGGCCUACCAAGCCUACGAUCUAUAGCUGGUUUUAGAGGAUGAUCAGCAACACUGGGACUGAGACACGGCCCAGACUCCUACGGGAGGCAGCAGUGAGGAAUCUUCCGCAAUGGGCGAAAGCCUGACGGAGCGACACCGCGUGAAGGAUGAAGGCCUAACGGUUGUAAACUUCUUUUCUGAAGGAGCAUAAUGAGAGUACUUCAGGAAUAAGGGACGC